CCAAACUUGGUCAUUUAGAGGAAGUAAAAGUCGUAACAAGGUUUCCGUAGGUGAACCUGCGGAAGGAUCAUUAACAAAUCUCAUGGCGUGCUCGGUGGGAGCAAUCCUGCCGGUGCGUACAUUAACCCGAGCCCGCGUCAGCGGGCUUUGGUUGGGCGGGUCUGCUGCGAGGCGGCCCGCUCCGGCUGCGUGUCCCGCGAGGGGUGUGCUGGCCACAUAGACGCUUGUUUGUUUGACAGAGUAUGCGUAUGCAACAAAAAUGACAACUUUUAACAAUGGAUCUCUUGGCUCUUGCAUCGAUGAAGAACGCAGC
rnacentral:misc_RNA from 1 species